UAAAAAAUAAAAAUAAAAGUUCUUGGAACAAAUGCACUUAGGACCACCUGAAAUUCUCCAAAUACUAAACAGCCCUACACUUGUAUGGUAAAGUGAAGUGCCACCAAGGCUACAUCUUAAUUACAUCUAAUUGGAGGAUCAAUUCAUUCUUUAAUACUUAAUCAUGAGUUAAUCUAUAUUGAUUAAUAAUUAAUAAAGUUCAUAUGGCCAACUUAUAAAAACAAAUCAUUUGUUGCUCUCACAAUUAUCACAAGCCAGUUGUCUCACCAUCUAUAUAUCUAUCUAUCUUCUUCUUCUUCUUACAUUAAUCCCAUAAUAAUAUUAUUUUUUUUCUCAUUCUUCUUUCUGCAUGUGCUCAUAUGCCUAAAUUCCUCAUAAGAAAAAUAGCCAAAUAGAAGGAAUCUUUGAUAUAUAUAUUAUAUAUAUAUACAGACAGCACAGAUAGAUUUCCCGUGUGCUGUUCAUUUGACCAAACAAAUUUGUUUCAGAUAUUCUCUUGCAAUAGCUAUAUAGCAAAAAUAAGAGUCAAAUAAAAAAAAAUUAAUAAAUAAAGAAAAAAACCAACUAACCUAACAUGCAGAUCCUUCAAUGGCUCUCCAAGAUAGCACAAGAACCUCCAAGAGCAGCAAAUUCCAGCCCGGUCAACACGAAAAAA